AUGGAGGUUCUUCAAGUUUCCGUUCCGUUCGACCAGUUCUUCAUGUGCUCAAAAUCUGGCCUAAACUUGUUUUAUGAACGACCUAUUGCAAAAUACCAGCAACAUGAUUCACAGUAAUUACCUACCUCAAGGAUAAUUGACGGUUUAUACCAAAGUUUGAAUCGGAUUUUGAAGAAGCCUUACAUUCAACUCAGGACGCUGACGGACGUUCAGAUGCGGAAGUAGCACGUGAACGUUGGGAAAAUUAUCAUAAACCGAACGAUUCUAUAACAGUAGAACCCUUUCAUGGUAUGUUGAAGUUGACCUUGGCGUAUCCGGAAUGCAACAAGGUCCCGGUUAUCUUUGACUCGAUUUUAUAAUUAUCGCUGCUAAUGCUAGUCUAAAAAAGAAAGACCAAUUGGGUUUUAUCCGACUCCUUAGACUCUGUGCAGAAGGCUAUGAGCUAUCGAGUGAUUUUUGUACAGAAAUGGGUACAAUCCCAGUUUAGAUUGAAGCCUUAUCUAAGCUCUGCGGAAUUCCAGCCUAUCACACAAUUGUAGCCGGUGUCCUUCAACCGUGUACUUGUGCGUAAAAAGGAGAGAAAACAAGGAAUAGUUACGGCCACGGUUGCAUAAUCGAUGUUCGCUUCAUGUUUCAAGGGGCUCGCGAAGGAAUGGAUCGUGAUCAAUUAUACCGAUACCAAGUGACACGUAUAAAACGUUAUCUAAAAACGUCAGAUUACCAGGUUCUGACAGGACUGUCAUCGGAUGUUAUCACAGAUAUAUCGUCUAAAAAUCUACCGUCGGUGAAAGUAAAAUGGACACCGAAGAUGGCGAUAUGCCAUACGAAAACGGCUAUGAACUUCCUAGUUUGGAGUUCGAAGGAUAGAUUCUGUUGUAAAAGCUUCGCCAACUCGUCAACUUGAGCGGAAAUUCGAGACUUGGAAAAAUGAAGAAAAAUGGAAAGCCAAUUACGCUUGCCGGUAACUUCGAUAUUCCUAGGUAA